CAUGGUAGGACAUUGCAAAAAUAUGUUGGUGGGUGCCCAAAAGGCCAACGCAACAAGAUGACAUACCACAAGCACUGGCAGCACUUACCUUGGAUAACACAAUUGCUGAAACGGAAUGGACUUCAGACACAGGAGCCUCAAAUCACAAGGAACUGGGUACAAUACAACAUGGCAUAGAUCUAACAACCAUCUUAAUCGGUCAUCUUCAAAAGCCCUUUUCUACAAUUGAUGAUAUAGAUCCAUGAUAUUUCCUUUCCUCCUCAUCAUACCAUGCCCCUGCAGAGACUACAAAAGGGAUGGAGAACAGUGUCACUGGCUGACAACUGCACAUUAACAUUUCCUUUAGUGGCACAUAGGAACAGCCUGAAUAUUGGUUGGGUCUGUUCCUCUGAACUGGUUUGGAAGAGUUAGUACAUUACAUUGGUACUGGGACUCCAGUUUGGAAUUGUUUGUAGUACAGUUUGCUGGCUUGGUGUUUACUGAUUGAACAAUCAACAGUUUUGCUUUCAGAGGCAAAAGAGGGGGAAAAAGUCAUUCAGAUUUCAGGAUGAUGAAAAAAGAUUCACAACCACAAGUUGGAUCUCAGGAAGUGAGCUUCCAUUAAGAAUUAAAACAACACUGAGAAACUGACCCAUCCCAGUUCAAAAAAGCCAGCUUGAAGAUUCUAAUAUAUAAAUGACCCAAUACCAAAAUAAUUGGAGGCUGGGCAUGUUUGAUUGAAUACCGCUAACAUGAAUAAUCUUAUGCCAUUUCUCCUCACUUUGAUUUAUCUUUUCUUACAUGACUAUCUUGGUAUAUUG